rnacentral:rRNA from 1 species
UAGGGAAUCUUCCGCAAUGGACGCAAGUCUGACGGAGCAACGCCGCGUGAGUGAAGAAGGAUUUCGGUUCGUAAAACUCUGUUGUUAGAGAAGAACAGCGCAUAGAGUAACUGUUAUGCGUGUGACGGUAUCUAACCAGAAAGCCACGGCUAACUACGUGCCAGCAGCCGCGGUAAUACGUAGGUUGCAAGCGUUGUCCGGUUUUAUUGGGCGUAAAGCUAGCGCAGGCGGUCAAUUAAGUCUGAUGUGAAAGCCCCCGGCUCAACCGGGGAGGGUCAUUGGAAACUGGUUGACUUGAGCGCAGAAGAGGAGAGUGGAAUUCCAUGUGUAGCGGUGAAAUGCGUAGAUAUAUGGAGGAACACCGGUGGCGAAAGCGGCUCUCUGGUCUGUAACUGACGCUGAGGCUCGAAAGCGUGGGGAGCGAACAGG